rnacentral:rRNA from 1 species
ACUCAAAGGAAUAGACGGGGGCCCGCACAAGCAGCGGAGCGUGUGGUUUAAUUCGAUGCGACACGAAGAACCUUACCUGGGUUUGACAUGCACGUAGUAGUGAACCGAAAGGGGAACGACCCGUAAGGGAGCGUGCACAGGUGCUGCAUGGCUGUCGUCAGCUCGUGUCGUGAGAUGUUGGGUUAAGUCCCGCAACGAGCGCAACCCUUGUCGCUAGUUACAAGUGUCUAGCGAGACUGCCGGCAUCAAGCCGGAGGAAGGUGGGGAUGAUGUCAAGUCAGCAUGGCCUUUAUAUCCAGGGCUACUCACACGCUACAAUGGGCAGUACAGUGGGAAGCGAAAGGGCGACCUGGAGCGAAUCCUAAAAAGCUGCUCGUAGUUCAGAUUGCAGGCUGCAACUCGCCUGCAUGAAGCUGGAGUUGCUAGUAAACGCAGGUCAGCUAUACUGCGUUGAAUACGUUCCCGGGCCUUGUACACACCGCCCGU